GGGCGGGACACGUGGUAUCCUGUCUGAAUAUGGGGGGACCAUCCUCCAAGGCUAAAUACUCCUGACUGACCGAUAGUGAACCAGUACCGUGAGGGAAAGGCGAAAAGAACCCCGGCGAGGGGAGUGAAAAAGAACCUGAAACCGUGUACGUACAAGCAGUGGGAGCACGCUUAGGCGUGUGACUGCGUACCUUUUGUAUAAUGGGUCAGCGACUUAUAUUCUGUAGCAAGGUUAACCGAAUAGGGGAGCCGAAGGGAAACCGAGUCUUAACUGGGCGUUAAGUUGCAGGGUAUAGACCCGAAACCCGGUGAUCUAGCCAUGGGCAGGUUGAAGGUUGGGUAACACUAACUGGAGGACCGAACCGACUAAUGUUGAAAAAUUAGCGGAUGACUUGUGGCUGGGGGUGAAAGGCCAAUCAAACCGGGAGAUAGCUGGUUCUCCCCGAAAGCUAUUUAGGUAGCGCCUCGUGAAUUCAUCUCCGGGGGUAGAGCACUGUUUCGGCAAGGGGGUCAUCCCGACUUACCAACCCGAUGCAAACUGCGAAUACCGGAGAAUGUUAUCACGGGAGACACACGGCGGGUGCUAACGUCCGUCGUGAAGAGGGAAACAACCCAGACCGCCAGCUAAGGUCCCAAAGUCAUGGUUAAGUGGGAAACGAUGUGGGAAGGCCCAGACAGCCAGGAUGUUGGCUUAGAAGCAGCCAUCAUUUAAAGAAAGCGUAAUAGCUCACUGGUCGAGUCGGCCUGCGCGGAAGAUGUAACGGGGCUAAACCAUGCACCGAAGCUGCGGCAGCGACACUAUGUGUUGUUGGGUAGGGGAGCGUUCUGUAAGCCUGUGAAGGUGUACUGUGAGGUAUGCUGGAGGUAUCAGAAGUGCGAAUGCUGACAUAAGUAACGAUAAAGCGGGUGAAAAGCCCGCUCGCCGGAAGACCAAGGGUUCCUGUCCAACGUUAAUCGGGGCAGGGUGAGUCGACCCCUAAGGCGAGGCCGAAAGGCGUAGUCGAUGGGAAACAGGUUAAUAUUCCUGUACUUGGUGUUACUGCGAAGGGGGGACGGAGAAGGCUAUGUUGGCCGGGCGACGGUUGUCCCGGUUUAAGCGUGUAGGCUGGUUUUCCAGGCAAAUCCGGAAAAUCAAGGCUGAGGCGUGAUGACGAGGCACUACGGUGCUGAAGCAACAAAUGCCCUGCUUCCAGGAAAAGCCUCUAAGCAUCAGGUAACAUCAAAUCGUACCCCAAACCGACACAGGUGGUCAGGUAGAGAAUACCAAGGCGCUUGAGAGAACUCGGGUGAAGGAACUAGGCAAAAUGGUGCCGUAACUUCGGGAGAAGGCACGCUGAUAUGUAGGUGAAGUCCCUCGCGGAUGGAGCUGAAAUCAGUCGAAGAUACCAGCUGGCUGCAACUGUUUAUUAAAAACACAGCACUGUGCAAACACGAAAGUGGACGUAUACGGUGUGACGCCUGCCCGGUGCCGGAAGGUUAAUUGAUGGGGUCAGCGCAAGCGAAGCUCUUGAUCGAAGCCCCGGUAAACGGCGGCCGUAACUAUAACGGUCCUAAGGUAGCGAAAUUCCUUGUCGGGUAAGUUCCGACCUGCACGAAUGGCGUAAUGAUGGCCAGGCUGUCUCCACCCGAGACUCAGUGAAAUUGAACUCGCUGUGAAGAUGCAGUGUACCCGCGGCAAGACGGAAAGACCCCGUGAACCUUUACUAUAGCUUGACACUGAACAUUGAGCCUUGAUGUGUAGGAUAGGUGGGAGGCUUUGAAGUGUGGACGCCAGUCUGCAUGGAGCCGACCUUGAAAUACCACCCUUUAAUGUUUGAUGUUCUAACGUGGACCCGUAAUCCGGGUUGCGGACAGUGUCUGGUGGGUAGUUUGACUGGGGCGGUCUCCUCCUAAAGAGUAACGGAGGAGCACGAAGGUUGGCUAAUCCUGGUCGGACAUCAGGAGGUUAGUGCAAUGGCAUAAGCCAGCUUGACUGCGAGCGUGACGGCGCGAGCAGGUGCGAAAGCAGGUCAUAGUGAUCCGGUGGUUCUGAAUGGAAGGGCCAUCGCUCAACGGAUAAAAGGUACUCCGGGGAUAACAGGCUGAUACCGCCCAAGAGUUCAUAUCGACGGCGGUGUUUGGCACCUCGAUGUCGGCUCAUCACAUCCUGGGGCUGAAGUAGGUCCCAAGGGUAUGGCUGUUCGCCAUUUAAAGUGGUACGCGAGCUGGGUUUAGAACGUCGUGAGACAGUUCGGUCCCUAUCUGCCGUGGGCGCUGGAGAACUGAGGGGGGCUGCUCCUAGUACGAGAGGACCGGAGUGGACGCAUCACUGGUGUUCGGGUUGUCAUGCCAAUGGCACUGCCCGGUAGCUAAAUGCGGAAGAGAUAAGUGCUGAAAGCAUCUAAGCACGAAACUUGCCCCGAGAUGAGUUCUCCCUGACUCCUUGAGAGUCCUGAAGGAACGUUGAAGACGACGACGUUGAUAGGCCGGGUGUGUAAGCGCAGCGAUGCGUUGAGCUAACCGGUACUAAUGAACCGUGAGG
rnacentral:rRNA from 1 species